rnacentral:rRNA from 1 species
AACGCUGGCGGCAUGCUUCAUACAUGCAAGUCGAACGAUAAGGUCUCUUCGGAGAUACAUAAGUGGCGGACGGGUGAGUAAUAUGUAGGAAAUCUGCCCUUGAGAGGGGGACAACAGAGGGAAACUUCUGCUAAUACCCCAUAUGAGCGUACCUGAAAUGGUAUUCUUGAAAACUCCGGUGCUCAAGGAUGAGCCUGCAUCUGAUUAGCUUGUUGGCGGUGUAAUGGACCACCAAGGCGACGAUCAGUAGCUGGUUUGAGAGGAUGAUCAGCCACAAUGGGACUGAGACACGGCCCAUACUCCUACGGGAGGCAGCAGUAGGGAAUUUUGCGCAAUGGGCGAAAGCCUGACGCAGCAAUGCCGCGUGAACGUAGAAGCCCUUCGGGGUGUAAAGUUCUGUCAGUAGGGACGAAUUUUGACGGUACCUACAGAGGAAGCACCGGCUAACUCCGUGCCAGCCGCGGC